AAAGAUUACAUUACAGUUGGUAGACCCAGGUCCAAUGAGUAAAAGUCCUGCCAUGUAUUGUUUCUACCUGUGCACCUAAACCAGGUGAUUUCACUGAUUAGCU